rnacentral:ncRNA from 1 species
AUGUUUAUAUAGCAAAUUAACUAUUGAUUUGAAAUUUCUUUAUGUUUUUUAAUAAAAAGUUAAUAAUAGAAGAUUGAUUUUUUUAAUUUUAUAUGAGAAAAAUAGAAUUUUAAUAAUGCCCGGCGAAGCCUGUGCCAGCCGCCGCGGUUAUACAGGCGGGUUAAAAUUGUUAUAAUAAAAGGAAUAAUUUUUUUUUUAUUUUUUUCUCUUAAAAAGGUGAAAUUAUUUAAGAAUGUUUAAUAAAUUGUUUUCUUGAAAUUAAUUUAUAAGACUAGGAUUAGAUACCCUAUUAUUAAUUAUAAUUAUAUUGGUAGUAUGUAAUAUUUGUGAAAUCAAAAGAUUUUGGCGGUAUUUUAAGCUUUUUAGAGGAAUUUGCUCUGUGAUUGAUAUGACACCAAUAUCUGACUUAAUUUUGUUAAAUCAGCUUGUAUAUCGCUAUAAUAAAAUUAUAUUAGAUGGUUAUGAUUAAAAGAUUUAUUUAUUAAAAUGUUAGGUCAAGAUGCAGUAGAUGUUUAAGGUUGAAGUGAAUUACGUUAAUUAUUAUUAGGUAAGGUGAAAUUUAAAAAAGGAUUUAAAAGUAAAAUAAAAUUAUAAUGUUUAUUUGAAUAAAGCUCUAAAAUAUGCACAUAUCGCCCGUCACUCUCUUUUUGAGAUAAGUCGUAACAAAGUAAGGGUACUGGAAAGUGUUCUUAA